rnacentral:rRNA from 1 species
GAUGAACGCUGGCGGCGUGCCUAAUACAUGCAAGUCGAGCGAACAGAUGAGGAGCUUGCUCCUCUGACGUUAGCGGCGGACGGGUGAGUAACACGUGGAUAACCUACCUAUAGACUGGGAUAACUUCGGGAAACCGGAGCUAAUACCGGAUAAUAUAUUGAACCGCAUGGUUCAAUAGUGAAAGACGGUUUUGCUGUCACUUAUAGAUGGAUCCGCGCCGCAUUAGCUAGUUGGUAAGGUAACGGCUUACCAAGGCAACGAUGCGUAGCCGACCUGAGAGGGUGAUCGGCCCCACUGGAACUGAGACCCGGUCCAGACUCCUACGGGAGGCAGCAGUAGGGAAUCUUCCGCAAUGGGCGAAAGCCUGACGGAGCAACGCCGCGUGAGUGAUGAAGGUCUUCGGAUCGUAAAACUCUGUUAUUAGGGAAGAACAAAUGUGUAAGUAACUAUGCACGUCUUGACGGUACCUAAUCAGAAAGCCACGGCUAACUACGUG